UACCUGCCCAACUGUUUUUCUGUUUUUCUUUCAACUUCUCUAGUUAAAUAUAUCAUGGAUAUGUGGCCUUUUCCUGGAGUGUGAUGAGCCUACAUGUAACCAUGCUUUUAAAGAAAAUUGGCUUACCCGCCUCCCAGCAGUUACCAGUGUGCCAUAAUUCCUCAGCUAGGUUUUAGAAGUUGUACUAGGAUACACCUGAGUUGAAGAUCUCCGUGUCUUGUCUACCUGUCUCAUUGCCUUGACAAGUAUUUUGACACAGUGAAACCCAUCCUGGAUCCCAAAGCUCUGUUCCCCCAUGGCUUCUACAGUGGAAUGCACUGAGCAGGCUGCUGGAGGAGGCUUGUCACUAACAGUCCUGUUCAGUUACAGACCUUGGGCACUGCAGUGCCAACAUGUCAUAUAAAGAUGAAUGCUCAUGUGUGCACUUUAUUGUUGUCCAAUUGGAUUCACAGCCAAUUCCACAGGAAAGAAUUAAUCCUGACAUUGUAAACUAUGUUAGAAGCCUGUGGGUAGGAAAAGCAACUUCUAUUGUUCUACUAACCACGUGCAACUCCUGUCAAAUAGCAUUAUAAAGAUUGUGCUUAUACCCAUAAAAUAAUGCUAGUGUCAGCAAAGGCCAUAGAAGGAAAAUAUGUAGUGAAUGGCUAUUACUACGUGAGAUUCAUAAAUGGAAGCACGGUGUCUGAUAGAUAGCAACAGAUAGAAGAAAAUGGGCUACUAUGUUAAACUCUCAAGGCUUAGGGGGCAUCACAGAGGAGGAUCUUGGAGAAUGCAUGAGCUAAAUAAUGGGCAAAAUGUUACAGACAUUUCCUCUGAAUUACAGCUUUCUUUCAUAAACAUAGGUGUCUAAUAAGACUCAGAAAAUAAUGCAAUGUAGAGAAUGGCAGAGCUAAUGAAGCUUAAAAUACUUGAGAAGCUCAGAAAGCAUGAGAUCAUGAGACAUCCCCUCAUGUUUAUAUAAGCAGUGAACAAUUGCUUAGAAGAGAAAGCUUUUAUCAGUGGAAUUGACUAAAACUUGAGCAGGGAGAGCCACAGAUGCAACUUAGGUAAAUCAUCACUUAUGCUAGGUUGAACUUUUUGAGAAUAAAUUUGCCUUUGCCUUAUCAGUGCCCUGAAAGCAACUCAAGUCACCUUAUUGAUUUAUCAGUCUAGAUGAGUGAAGUAAAUUUUUUGAUCUUUAUUCUUUUAUUCAUGUCACUCUAGGAAAAAAAACACAUGGUGCAAUUUAUGUAUUUAAUCAGCUCUGGCUAUACAGUAUCAAACCGUUCUCCGGAGUUACUUGGUACACACCCUUAAUGGAGAGUAUUUAGUAGAACGUUACACAGCAAGAAGGGAUUGGAAAGUGUCAAAUGGAGAAAAUCAAAGUCAUGGAUAAGUUACCAACAAGCCUUAAAAACACUUGCCAUGAGCAUUAGACCUUUGCAGGAGUAAGAAAAUCAAUUUUGUUCUGUUAACCUACUGGGAAUUUGUAUAAGCCUGUGAAAUCUGAAAUUAGUUUUAGUCAUGUGCUCACCCUUUCAUAAAUACAGUAUCAUAAAAGUAGAAAUUACUUCUGAUGAUGAUUCCUGUGAUGUAUUAGUGGUCAAGCCAUUGUUAGCCACUUCUAUUUAUUAGACGUCCCCUCAUAUAAGAAUAAAGUUUUGACUCCCAGGUUGACCUAAAAUAUUGUCACUAAUUUCUUGGGAAAUACUUUGUAAUACUAGAAAGAAGGUGGGACAACAUAAUUUGAAAGGGUUAAAACAAGAAAGUGCAAGUCAGCAUCACAGUGUCAGCAAUGACUAUGGAGGAAGCACUGGCCUAUACUAGCAACUGCUAUUGCAGCCAGUACACCCAGUACUUAGUGCACUGUGGUUAGAAUAAUGCUCAUCAUUACUCAC